rnacentral:lncRNA from 1 species
UGCAGGCAAAGGCCUGUUUGAACCUUCAACGUGCGUGGGUCAAAUGAUUGUUUAGGAAGUCUGUAUGAUGACGAAAAAACUGCAGGUGACUAGAAGCUGCCAAUGAGCUGCCAGUCCGGAUGGCAGCUAUCAACACGGCAAGGGCCUGCAGGCGCAUCAGCCCUCCCCCCGUUCCUCUACUGCCAUUGGAGACAGGAUGCUUUGUAAAAGUGGGAGCUCAUGAGGGUGGCACUGUGCACAGAGGGACAGAGUGGCUGACAGUGCGCUGCCCAAGACAACCUGCUGGCUCUC